UCAAUAUUAUAUCAAUUUUUAUAGUAAGCCUUGUGGAUAGCAUAAUAAACUCACUAAGAUCUUGACAUACUCUGUUGAUCAAGCAUAAAGGAAGGCCUUUGUAAUAUCUACAUCACUAAUCAAUCCAAGUCUGAAACUUAAUAAGACCAAACUGACCAGGUCAAUAGGUGGGAGGCUCUCCAUAGCUUUUCUUACAUACCAAUAAAGUUGGUCAGACC
rnacentral:lncRNA from 1 species